AGCAGCCGCGGUAAUUCCAGCUCCGAUAGCGUAUAUUAAAGUUGUUGCAGUUAAAAGCUCGUAGUUGAAUUUCGGGGUUAGUAGGUUGGUCAUGCCUCUGGUAUGUACUGGUCUCACUGAUUCCUCCUUCCUGAUGAGCCGUAAUGCCAUUAAUUUGGUGUUGCGAGGAAUUUGGACUGUUACUUUGAAAAAAUUAGAGUGUUUAAAGCAAGCUAACGCUUGAAUACAUUAGCAUGGAAUAAUGAAAUAGGACGUUCGAUCCUAUUUUGUUGGUUUCUAGGAUUGACGUAAUGAUUAAUAGGGAUAGUUGGGGGCAUUAGUAUUCAAUUGUCAGAGGUGAAAUUCUUGGAUUUAUUGAAGACUAACUACUGCGAAAGCAUUUGCCAAGGAUGUUUUCAUUAAUCAAGAACGAAAGUUAGGGGAUCGAAGACGAUCAGAUACCGUCGUAGUCUUAACCAUAAACUAUGCCGACUAGGGAUCGGAUGAUGUUAAUUUUUUAAUGACUCAUUCGGCGCCUUAC
rnacentral:misc_RNA from 1 species